GCCAGUGUGGCGUAUUGCUUUGAGUAUUGGACUACAACUCUGGAGACCAGGGUUCAAUUCCCUGCUCAGCCA